AUUUGAUGUGACUGAGUAUGUCAGGAUGAUCGAGCAGUUUGCUGUCUUGUUUUCAGAAGACGCUCGAGGACGAGCGUAUGUCAGCAUGGCCGUGACGGCGCCACCGUCGAUGUGUCAACCGUCGAUCUGUCAACGGUGGACCUUAUAUAAAGCGGCGCACGACUCGGGUCAUUCGUUCGCCGACCGUUGCCGAGUGCACACCUCCCACAAAUUUGUGAUAAAUAAUUGUAGUGACUAAUAUUGUGUUAAUUGGAAUAAACCAAGUGAUUGUAAGACGCUCGAGGACGAGCGUAUGUCAGCAUGGCCGUGACGGCGCCACCGUCGAUGUGUCAACCGUCGAUCUGUCAACGGUGGACCUUAUAUAAAGCGGCGCACGACUCGGGUCAUUCGUUCGCCGACCGUUGCCGAGUGCACACCUCCCACAAAUUUGUGAUAAAUAAUUGUAGUGACUAAUAUUGUGUUAAUUGGAAUAAACCAAGUGAUUGUAAGACGCUCGAGGACGAGCGUAUGUCAGCAUGGCCGUGACGGCGCCACCGUCGAUGUGUCAACCGUCGAUCUGUCAACGGUGGACCUUAUAUAAAGCGGCGCACGACUCGGGUCAUUCGUUCGCCGACCGUUGCCGAGUGCACACCUCCCACAAAUUUGUGAUAAAUAAUUGUAGUGACUAAUAUUGUGUUAAUUGGAAUAAACCAAGUGAUUGUAAGACGCUCGAGGACGAGCGUAUGUCAGCAUGGCCGUGACGGCGCCACCGUCGAUGUGUCAACCGUCGAUCUGUCAACGGUGGACCUUAUAUAAAGCGGCGCACGACUCGGGUCAUUCGUUCGCCGACCGUUGCCGAGUGCACACCUCCCACAAAUUUGUGAUAAAUAAUUGUAGUGACUAAUAUUGUGUUAAUUGGAAUAAACCAAGUGAUUGUAAGACGCUCGAGGACGAGCGUAUGUCAGCAUGGCCGUGACGGCGCCACCGUCGAUGUGUCAACCGUCGAUCUGUCAACGGUGGACCUUAUAUAAAGCGGCGCACGACUCGGGUCAUUCGUUCGCCGACCGUUGCCGAGUGCACACCUCCCACAAAUUUGUGAUAAAUAAUUGUAGUGACUAAUAUUGUGUUAAUUGGAAUAAACCAAGUGAUUGUGUGAGAACCCCUUUGUUUUAUUUAACGAUGUCGGAUCCUGACGCCGACAUCAGAAGUGGGAUACAAUCCGAAUGCCCACAUCUGUUAAGGAUUGCCCUGCAUCGCCCACGUGUUCAAAAUGUGAAGAUUCUAGUGGCAAAAGUUGAUACGCCUGAUGCAACACUGCUAUCGCAUUGAAUCAAGCCAGGCAAGCACAAGCAAGAAUCCUGGGUGGUGAAUCUCGUACUGCAACAUGAUGUUGGUUGGUUGGUGAAUGACCAGACUGAUUUCGGGAGAACUCGCCACGUGAAGAUAAAUUGCCUACCCACU